CCCUUCGGGGAGCUGUUACAGGUGUUGCAUGGCUGUCGUCAGCUCGUGUCGUGAGAUGUUCGGUUAAGUCCGCUAACGAGCGCAACCCGCGUUGUGUGUUACAAGUGUCACACAAUACCGCCGGUAUUAAGUCGGAGGAAGGUGCGGAUGACGUCAAGUCAGCAUGACCUUUAUAUCCAGGGCUACACACACGCUACAAUGGUCGGCACAAUAGGUUGCCAAGUCGUGAGACGGAGCCAAUCCUCCAAAGCCGGCCUCAGUUCAGAUUGCAGGCUGCAACUCGCCUGCAUGAAGUUGGAGUUGCUAGUAAACGCAGGUCAGCUAUACUGCGUUGAAUACGUUCCCGGGGAUU
rnacentral:rRNA from 1 species